GUUGUAUGGUUAAGUGACUAAGCGUACACGGUGGAUGCCUUGGCAGUCAGAGGCGAUGAAGGACGUAUUAACUUGCGAUAAGCGUAGAUUAGGCAGUAAAAGCCACUUGAGUCUACGAUUUCCGAAUGGGGAAACCCACUUACAUAAGUAAGUAUCCUUAACUGAAUACAUAGGUUAAGGAAGCGAACCGGGGGAACUGAAACAUCUAAGUACCCCGAGGAAGAGAAAUCAACCGAGAUCCCGAAAGUAGCGGCGAGCGAAAUUGGGUUAGCCCUUAAGCUUUUUAUGCGUCAGGUGAAGCUUCUGGAAAGGAGCGCGAUACAGGGUGAUAGCCCCGUAACCGACAACGUAUUUAAAGUGAAAUCGAGUAAGGCGGGACACGUGAUAUCCUGUCUGAAUAUGGGGGGACCAUCCUCCAAGGCUAAAUACUCCUGACUGACCGAUAGUGAACCAGUACCGUGAGGGAAAGGCGAAAAGAACCCCUGUGAGGGGAGUGAAAUAGAACCUGAAACCGUGUACGUACAAGCAGUAGGAGCACCUUCGUGGUGUGACUGCGUACCUUUUGUAUAAUGGGUCAGCGACUUAUAUUCAGUGGCAAGGUUAACCGUUUAGGGGAGCCGUAGGGAAACCGAGUCUUAACUGGGCGAUUUAGUCUCUGGAUAUAGACCCGAAACCAGGUGAUCUAGCCAUGGGCAGGUUGAAGGUUGAGUAACAUCAACUGGAGGACCGAACCGACUAAUGUUGAAAAAUUAGCGGAUGACUUGUGGCUAGGGGUGAAAGGCCAAUCAAACCUGGAGAUAGCUGGUUCUCCCCGAAAGCUAUUUAGGUAGCGCCUCGGACGAAUACUACUGGGGGUAGAGCACUGUUAAGGCUAGGGGGUCAUCCCGACUUACCAACCCUUUGCAAACUCCGAAUACCAGUAAGUACUAUCCGGGAGACACACGGCGGGUGCUAACGUCCGUCGUGGAGAGGGAAACAACCCAGACCGCCAGCUAAGGUCCCAAAUGACUACUAAGUGGGAAACGAUGUGGGAAGGCUCAGACAGCCAGGAUGUUGGCUUAGAAGCAGCCAUCAUUUAAAGAAAGCGUAAUAGCUCACUGGUCGAGUCGGCCUGCGCGGAAGAUGUAACGGGGCUAAGUAGUCAACCGAAGCUGCGGCUGCAUACUUUGUAUGCGGGGUAGGGGAGCGUUCUGUAAGCGGUUGAAGGUGGUUCGUAAGGGCUGCUGGACGUAUCAGAAGUGCGAAUGCUGACAUGAGUAACGAUAAAGGGAGUGAAAAACUCCCUCGCCGGAAGACCAAGGGUUCCUGUCCAACGUUAAUCGGGGCAGGGUAAGUCGACCCCUAAGGCGAGGCAGAAAUGCGUAGUCGAUGGGAAACGGGUUAAUAUUCCCGUACUCGAUCAAAUUGCGAUGGGGGGACGGAGAAGGCUAGGUGGGCCUGGCGAUGGUUGUCCAGGUUCAAGUGCGUAGGCUGAUGGUUUAGGUAAAUCCGGAUCGUCAUUAAGGCUGAGACACGACGUCGAGCUGCUACGGCAGUGAAGUCAUUGAUGCCAUGCUUCCAGGAAAAGCCUCUAAGCUUCAGAUUUGAUGGAAUCGUACCCCAAACCGACACAGGUGGUCGGGUAGAGAAUACCAAGGCGCUUGAGAGAACUCGGGUGAAGGAACUAGGCAAAAUGGUACCGUAACUUCGGGAGAAGGUACGCUCUUGACGGUGAAGUCCCUUGCGGAUGGAGCUAUUAGGAGUCGCAGAUACCAGGUGGCUGCAACUGUUUAUUAAAAACACAGCACUGUGCAAAAUCGUAAGAUGACGUAUACGGUGUGACGCCUGCCCGGUGCCGGAAGGUUAAUUGAUGGGGUUAGUCUUAGGACGAAGCUCUUGAUCGAAGCCCCGGUAAACGGCGGCCGUAACUAUAACGGUCCUAAGGUAGCGAAAUUCCUUGUCGGGUAAGUUCCGACCUGCACGAAUGGCGUAAUGAUGGCCACGCUGUCUCCACCCGAGACUCAGUGAAAUUGAAAUCGCUGUGAAGAUGCAGUGUACCCGCGGCUAGACGGAAAGACCCCGUGAACCUUUACUACAGCUUGGCACUGAACAUUGAACCUACAUGUGUAGGAUAGGUGGGAGGCUUUGAAACGCAGUCGCUAGAUUGCGUGGAGCCGUCCUUGAAAUACCACCCUUGUAGCUUUGAUGUUCUAACUUAGCCCCAUGAACUGGGGUGAGGACAGUGCCUGGUGGGUAGUUUGACUGGGGCGGUCUCCUCCCAAAGAGUAACGGAGGAGCACGAAGGUGGGCUAAACACGGUUGGACAUCGUGUGGUUAGUGCAAUGGCAUAAGCCCGCUUAACUGCGAGAAUGACAAUUCGAGCAGGUGCGAAAGCAGGUCAUAGUGAUCCGGUGGUUCUGAAUGGAAGGGCCAUCGCUCAACGGAUAAAAGGUACUCCGGGGAUAACAGGCUGAUACCGCCCAAGAGUUCAUAUCGACGGCGGUGUUUGGCACCUCGAUGUCGGCUCAUCACAUCCUGGGGCUGAAGUCGGUCCCAAGGGUAUGGCUGUUCGCCAUUUAAAGUGGUACGCGAGCUGGGUUUAGAACGUCGUGAGACAGUUCGGUCCCUAUCUGCCGUGGGCGUUGGAAGAUUGAAGGGGGCUGCUCCUAGUACGAGAGGACCGGAGUGGACGAACCUCUGGUGUUCGGGUUGUCAUGCCAAUGGCAUUGCCCGGUAGCUAAGUUCGGGAUCGAUAACCGCUGAAAGCAUCUAAGCGGGAAGCGAGCCCUGAGAUGAGUCUUCCCUGAUACUUUAAGUAUCCUAAAGGGUUGUUCGAGACCAGAACGUUGAUAGGCAGGGUGUGUAAGCGUUGUGAGGCGUUGAGCUAACCUGUACUAAUUGCCCGUGAGGCUUAACCAUACAACACCCAAGGGGUUU
rnacentral:rRNA from 1 species